UUGGAACAUCAGGAUGUGCAGAAAAUAUUGGAGUAUCACAAACAGGGUCAACUAUUGUUGUUAUGAGCGGAGCAAUUCUACGUCAGUAAAGGCUAGAAAUUUAUUGAGUUCAUUUCCAAAUCCAUAAGCCUUCUACUAUGCAGAGGUUAGAAGCAAAGGGUGAUAAAGUUAUUACUUAGAAAUUAUGUCUUGAUAAACUAUGGUUAUUUUGUUGGCAUUGUUCAUGUAUUGGGGAUUCCAGGGGUUUCCUUAGUGGUCUUCCCGUUCUGUAUGAAACAUCCUUGAUUUAUUUGCACGAAUGAAACGAUUCCUGGAAGUCUUUCCAGUGUAAGCAGCAUUGCAGCUGCUGCAUUAAUUUAUAGACUACAGAUGAACUUAAUAGGCUGAGAAUUUUGUCUUGGACCUGGAAGUAGUGGCCAGUGGUGUUUGUGGAAGUGAAAAUGAAAUGAUCCUCAAAUCUACAUUUUAGUAGUUUUCUCCUAAUAGUAGGCUAUAACUCUUGGAGUUUAUGUAUGGAAGGUUUAUGUAAAUUAUGUCCUUUAUGUAAUCCUUCAUAGUUUUAUAUUGUGUUAUUAUUAUAGCUAACCAUUAAUAAUAGGUAAUGAACUUUUCACCUGAAA